rnacentral:rRNA from 1 species
GCCUAAUACAUGCAAGUAGAACGCUGAAGGAGGAGCUUGCUUCUCCGGAUGAGUUGCGAACGGGUGAGUAACGCGUAGGUAACCUGCCUGGUAGCGGGGGAUAACUAUUGGAAACGAUAGCUAAUACCGCAUAAGAGUAGAUGUUGCAUGACAUUUGCUUAAAAGGUGCAAUUGCAUCACUACCAGAUGGACCUGCGUUGUAUUAGCUAGUUGGUGGGGUAACGGCUCACCAAGGCGACGAUACAUAGCCGACCUGAGAGGGUGAUCGGCCACACUGGGACUGAGACACGGCCCAGACUCCUACGGGAGGCAGCAGUAGGGAAUCUUCGGCAAUGGACGGAAGUCUGACCGAGCAACGCCGCGUGAGUGAAGAAGGUUUUCGGAUCGUAAAGCUCUGUUGUAAGAGAAGAACGAGUGUGAGAGUGGAAAGUUCACACUGUGACGGUAUCUUACCAGAAAGGGACGGCUAACUACGUGCCAGCAGCCGCGGUAAUACGUAGGUCCCGAGCGUUGUCCGGAUUUAUUGGGCGUAAAGCGAGCGCAGGCGGUUAGAUAAGUCUGAAGUUAAAGGCUGUGGCUUAACCAUAGUACGCUUUGGAAACUGUUUAACUUGAGUGCAAGAGGGGAGAGUGGAAUUCCAUGUGUAGCGGUGAAAUGCGUAGAUAUAUGGAGGAACACCGGUGGCGAAAGCGGCUCUCUGGCU